rnacentral:rRNA from 1 species
ACGUCAAAUCAUCAUGCCCCUUAUGUUCUGGGCUACACACGUGCUACAAUGGCCGGUACAAAGAGACGCGAAGCGGCGACGCGGAGCAAAUCAGGAAAACCGGCCCCAGUUCGGAUCGCAGGCUGAAACCCGCCUGCGUGAAGUCGGAGUUGCUAGUAAUCGUGAAUCAGAAUGUCACGGUGAAUACGUUCCCGGGUCUU